CGCCUUUGGCAUUAAUCGUCUGUUUGAUUGGGUUGUACUUGGGUUAACAAUAACAACAACUAUUACUACAGCAGCAAACAAUCUCCCAUUCGGUGAAGCGAGUCGUUUCACACUCAACUCUCUGCCACCCACUCUCACCCUCAACAUCAGUAGUGGCAAGAACGACAGCAGCAGCAGCAACAACAACAACAACAACAACAACAACAAUAGCAACAACAACAACAGCAGCAAAAAUCAACAGCAACAACAUAACAACAGCAACAACAGCAACAUCAACCGAAUGAGGAGCAGCGGCAAUAACCACAACAGCUUAAAGAUGGCGCCCUUUUUUUCCCCUACAUCUCGGGCAAAAAGGUAAGUUUAAUUCGUUUUGUUUUCUUACGCUGUAAUUAAUGUUUUAAUUAAAGAUAACAAUUAUGAUUUGUUCAACUUUUCAAGUAUCAAUUAAUUUGAUAACUGUUUUACAUUUAAAAAUAUUUAUCGUAGAAAAUUAAACUACCUUCACACAUAACAAUAUAUCUAUCAUGAUGUCUUUGUGCAUUUCGAAGUUAACGGUGAAAAUGAAGCAACCCUGCAAAACACAACUGAUCUUUACACACAGACACACACAGAAUAACAGCAAUCAAAUAACGACAACGGAGUGUCCCGUGUAUGAUAGCUAUGGUUUUGAAUUCUUUUCUUUCGGGGAUCACGACUGGCAAUUUUAGUAGCCAUUUUUUCAAGAUUAGGGAAUGCGGAAUAUAAUUUGUUAAUAGAAAACAAUCUUUUUUAUGUUUUCUCUUUCUUUUUUUUUUUUUAGUUUCGUUUUGGUCUAAGCUAGGUAAUAUGUAGAACUUCUAAACUCACCGAGACUCUGCGCGAAAAAAUAGUGAAAAAAAGCACAAUUCAAUGCAGUUAUACUAAGCAGAAAUCCUUCGCUUCAAAGAGCGACUGGGAAACACAUCUGACAAACACAGCAGCGAAUAAUAAUAAUAAUAAUAAUAAUAAUAAUAAUAAUAAUAAUAAUAAUAAUAAUAAUAAUAACACCAUCCUCAGCCAGUUGUUGAAGGUAAAGAUGUCACCAUCCUCUGGGAUUUUCCAGUCAACACUGACAGAACGAUCAAGGCUAAUCGACCAGACAUAAUUGUUAAAGACAGGGAAGAAAAUACCUGCAGACUAAUAGAAGUAAGCGUCCCCACUGAUAAAAAUGUAUCUGUCAAGGAAUUUGACAAACUUAGUAAAUAUAAGGACCUGGAAAUCGAAAUACAGAGGAUGUGGAAUCUUAAAACAAAAACUGUUCCUGUUAUUGUAGGUGCCCUAGGUAUGAUAAAAAAGGGAUGUCAGAAACACCUAGACAAUAUCCCUGGAAAACCAUGUCUCAAGGAAAUCCAAAAGAUUGUACUAACAAGUACUGCCCACAUCCUUAGAAAAACCCUAUCAAUGUAAAUGUCUGUGUUUGCAUUACAUGGAGAUAUAUCUCUACUUCCCCUCCCCAAGCUUUCAGCUAUAUUUCAACAACUCUUAACCUUCACUUGCCCUAGGGCGCUGGGUGUGCCCCGGCAGGUGAUUGCAUCAAACAUGCAGAUUAAAAGUAAAUGACAAUGAUAAUAAUAAUAAUAAUAAUAAUAAUAAUAAUAAUAAUAAUAAUAAUAAUAAUAAUAAUAAUAAUAAUAAUAAUAAUAAUAAUAAUAAUAAUAAUAACAACAACAACAAUUGCAAACCAAAUUUCGGAAUUGGUUUGCAAAACAGCAAACCAAAUCCGAAAAUAAAUUCGAUGUAAGAGAAAUAUGUAAGUUAAAAGUUAGUUCGAUAUUCCAAAUCAAUAUGUUUACAACUUAACAAUUUCUCUCUCUCUCUCUAUCUCUCUCUCUCUGCCUUCAUCCAUGUUUCACGUCUAAGCAAAGGGAAUAGAAUCUUUGCCUCUGGGAUGAAUUAUCCACCUUUAUGGGAAAAUUAUCGUAACAAACCGCGGGACACCUCUUUCUGCAAUGGUGAGUAGUGAACUAUCUAUUUUCUGCACUUGGUGCUGC
rnacentral:lncRNA from 1 species